UACGGAGGAUCCAAGCGUUAUCCGGAUUUAUUGGGUUUAAAGGGUGCGUAGGCGGCUCAUUAAGUCAGGGGUGAAAGACGGUAGCUUAACUAUCGCAGUGCCUUUGAUACUGAUGAGCUUGAAUGUAGUUGAGGUAGGCGGAAUGUGACAAGUAGCGGUGAAAUGCAUAGAUAUGUCACAGAACACCAAUUGCGAAGGCAGCUUCUAAAGUACGAUUGACGCUGAGGCACGAAAGCGUGGGGAGUCAAACAGG
rnacentral:rRNA from 1 species